AAGGAGUAGACAUGACUGAGCAACAAAAAUCCAGUUGAAAGCAAUAUGUAUACUUUUAAAUGUUUCAAUAUAUAUGCUUUUAAGUGUUUCAGUGUAUAUACUUUUAAAUGUUUCAACAUGUUGCCAGAUAAUACAUUAUAGAAUAACACUACUAGUCUACUUAUUUUAACCUUGUACUUGUCUUACUGUAGCUUUGUAAGAUCUCUUUCUGUCAUACUAUCACUGUGUCAGGAGUCUGGGCAUGGCUUAGCAUUAUCUUCUACUGAGGGUCCAAGAAGGUUGUAAUCCAGUUGUUGGCCAGGUUGUAUUCUCAUCUGAAGACUUGCCCAGGGAAGAUUUCACUAACUGCUGCGCUUCCAAGCUACUGCAAGUUGUGAGGUGGUGGGACUGAGGUUGCUGUUUUCUUGCUGGAUAUAGGCCAGGUGCUGCUCUCUAGAAGCCUCCUGCCAGGAUGUAUCUAUGCUUCUGUUUUGUGUUUCCACCUGUAUCAUUCAUGAACCCUUUUGUCCCCUGCAGUGGAAGCAUUGCAGUUUCUUAACCACUGGAUCACCAGGGAAGUUCCUGUGAUUGCUUCUUUUCUGAGCCCCUUAUCCUUACCCGUAGAUGUUUCAUCCUCACAAUCCCCUAGCCCUCCCUUGCAGGAGUCACUGCCACUCUCUUCUGAACUGUUAUGUAAUUUGGAAAUGAAGGAGGCAGGCAGUUAGGGAAUGGAAGGAGAAAAGGGAGACCCUACCCCAUGUCAUCAAAUAUUAAGAUGUAUGCAUAUCCAAUGUUGAAUAUCUUUUCUCAAAAAACUUUCUGCAUGGAUUACCCUUGUUUUGGAAAUUAAUUGACUGUGUUGACUCAUUAAUGAUUUGAUAUGUGUUUUAAGCAGUCAUGCAUAUGUGAGAAUUCUUGAGAAAUGUAAAAAUCUAAUGUGCUAAUUAUUUUCAAAUGUAAGGAAAUUUGUAUGUUUUAAAAUGAAAAAUUAAGUUUAUAUAUUAAUUUAAUGGAACAUUUUUAAAUUUUGUAGUUUAAUUUUCUUAAAUUGGUGUCUGCCCUUUUCAUGCCUAGAUCUCAGGCAUUUUCUUAUAUGUUUUCAUUUCUGGAAAAGCUUGCAGGCCCUGGGCUUCCUGCCUGCAGUGUGAAAUGGAUAAAUUGGAUUUGAUCGAGUCAGCUUAUAAAUCAGUAAGGGAACAAAAAGUUGGCAGUAGUUUAUCAACAUCCCAUACUCAGGUAAUUAAGCAAUUUCAAUAAUUCUUAAUAGCAUGGCAGGUUUUUAUUAUCUUUUAAUAGGUGUUGGCUAAUGGGACCUAGGGAAGCACAGGAAAAUUUCUUUUGCAUUAAAGCAGUUCUAGGCAGCGUAGUAUUUAGUCAGAGUGAUGGAUUGCCAGGGCUGCCACAACAAAAUACCACAAACUGGGUGGCUUAAACAACAAAUGUAUUUUCUGACAGUUUAGGAGGUGGAAAGCCCAAGUUCAAGGUCAGCAGGUUUGGUUUUUUGUUUUUGUUUUGAGUCUUCUUUCCCUGACUAGCAGGAGGCCACCUUCUUGCUGUGUUUUCACGUGGCUUUUCUCUGUGUGUAUGCAGGUCUGUCCUCAUCUCUUCUUAAUAAGGAAAGCAGUUAUAAUGGAUUAGGGCCUACUUAUGUGACCUCGUUUUAUUGUAAUUACCUCACUACAGAUCCUGUCUCCAAGCACAGUCACAUUAUGAUGCACCAGGGGUUCGGAUUUCAACAUAUGCAUUUUGAGAAGAUACUUAGCCCAUAACAAUUGUCAUCCUUUAUUUUAUGCAGUAGCAAACUUGAUGAUAAAUCACACUUCAAUUAAGGUAAAUCUUUUUUCCUACUGUCUUCCAAUGGGAAUAUGCUGCCCUCCCACCCCUCAGUGAAACAUAUCCAUAGCAAGAGUAAAACCUUAAGCUCAAAAGCGGAAACAAUUUUGAAUCACUCUGUACCCUCCAGAUCCUCCUCCCGCAACUUUGAUUUUUUCUUCCUAUUUUACGAAGUCUUGUCUUUCUUCAGUCCUUCUUCAAAUGAUGAGCAUACCUUCCAGAUACAGAGUUGCUCCAUUUCAUGUGGAAGAUUCUAUAACUUGGCUUCCCUUUCCCUUUUUGUCUGAGAUCUCAAUGAACUGUUUAAAAAAAAACACACCUAAUUUUAUGGAAGUAGAGUUGAUGUACAAUAUUGUACUCUGCUCUAUAGUAGUGUGAUUGAGAUACAUAGAUAGAUAGGUAUUCUUAUCCAUUAUGGUUUCUUAUAGAAUAUUGGAUAUAGUUCCCUGUGUUGUACAGCAGGACCUUGUUUACUCUAUAUAUAAUAGUUGCAUUUGCUAACCCCAGCCUUCCAACCCAUCCUUCCCCCUUUCCCCUUCUCCUUAACACUACAAGUCAGUUCUCUAUGUCUGUGAGUCUGUUUCUGUUUUGGUAGGUAAGUUUUCAAUGAACUCUUCUUCUUCCACCUCACUAUCCCCCUCUUUUUUCUUUUCCCCCUCUUUUUUUGAUUUCUCUUUCACCUUUUUAUUUUCAGUGUUACUCUGUGCUAAGGCCUAGACAUACAGAGUAAGAAAGGACACAUGUUCUUUUCAUGAAGUUGACUGUCCACUGUGAGAAGACGACCUUUAAAAAAAAUGCACUGACUUUAGAUGGUAACUGGGAGUUGUGAUUUGAUGUGAAAGUAAGGGGGAGUGUGUGUGUUAAAUUUAAAUAGAGCUUGGAGAAGGCCUAAUUAAGUGGUAUUUGAGCUGAAACCUCCCCAUUGAGAAGAAGAGUUACUUUACUGCAGAUGGGUAUUUGGUUUGUUUUUCUUCCUAUUUUGCUGUUAAAAACAUUGACACUUUGAACAUUCUUAUACACAUUUCUUGAUGGAUAUUUCCAAGAAUUUUAAGGUUAAAUCUAGGAGUGUUAACUGUAUGUUAUACUGUAUGUGAGUGUUUAGUUUUCAGGCUGGUGCCAAAUCAUUUUCCACAAUAGUUAUACCAAUUUACAUCCACGAGGGAAACAAAAGAAAUUCCAUUUAAUAGGCUUCCCUGGUGGCUCAGUGGUGAAGAAUCCGCCUGCCAGUGCAGGAGACAUAGGUUCACUCCCUGAUCUGGAAAGAUCCCACCUGGCGAGGAGCGACUAAGCCCGUGUGCCACGACUGUUGAGCCUGUCUGUGCUCUAGAGCCUGGGAGCAUCAAGUACCGAGCCCGCGUGCCCCGAGCCUGUGCUCUGCAACCAGAGAAGCCGCCACAGCGAGGCGGCAAUUGUCGCAGCUGCUCUCCCGGCUUCGCUAUGCCGCCCAAGGACGAGAAGAAGAAGAAAGAUGCUGGAAAGUCGACCAAGAAAGACAAAGAUCCAGUGAACAAAUCUGGGGGCAAGGCCAAAAAGAAGUGGUCCAAAGGCAAAGUUCGGGACAAGCUCAAUAACCUCAUCAUGUUUGACAAAGCAACAUGUGACAAACCCUGUAAAGAAGUUCCCAACUCUAAGCUUAUAACUCCAGCUGUCGUCUCUGAGAGACUGCAGAUUCGUGGUUCCCUGGCCAGGGCAGCCCGUCAGGAACUCCUUAGUAAAGGACUUACUAAACUGGUUUCAAAGCACAGAGCUCAAGUGAUUUACAGCAGACACACCAAGGGUGGAAAUGCCCUAGCUGCUGGUGAAGAUGCAUGAACAGGUCCCACCAACUGUACAUUUUGAAAAAUAAAGCUUUAUUAAAUAAAAAAAAAAAAAGAGAAGCCACUGCAAUGAGAAGCCUGCAACUGAAGAGUAGCUCCGCUGCUCACUAAACUGAGACAAAAGCCUGUGCAGCAGUGAAGACCCAACACAACCAAAAAAAAAAAAAAAAAAAAAGAGCCAGGAUUCAUUUAAAAAAAGAGAGAAAUUCCAUUUGAGAAUCUCCCAAACUUCCCAUAAGACUCUUCAUUCUUGUCAGUGCUUCACAAAUUUAAUUUUUACCAACCUAAAUAUUUAUUUUUACCAAUUUUUCAUUGCAAUUUUAAUUUUAUUUUCCUGACUAUUAUCUGUUUUUUAUUUUACUUUUAAAAAUAAAUUUAAAAAAUACAUUGUGGGUAGCAGACUUUUGUGAGUGAUAUAUUGCAAAUACUUUCUCUCAUUUUGUGGCUCUCAUUUCACCUUCCUCAUAGUUUCUUUUAAUGGAAAAAAGGGUCUUUUAAGAUGGUCGAA